AUUGAACGCUGGCGGAAUGCUUUACGCAUGCAAGUCGAACGGUAACAGGUCUUCGGAUGCUGACGAGUGGCGAACGGGUGAGUAAUAUAUCGGAACGUGCCCAGUCGUGGGGGAUAACGUAGCGAAAGUUACGCUAAUACCGCAUACGAUCUAUGGAUGAAAGCGGGGGAUCGCAAGACCUCGCGCGAUUGGAGCGGCCGAUAUCAGAUUAGGUAGUUGGUGGGGUAAAGGCUCACCAAGCCAACGAUCUGUAGCUGGUCUGAGAGGACGACCAGCCACACUGGAACUGAGACACGGUCCAGACUCCUACAGGAGGCAGCAGUGGGGAAUUUUGGACAAUGGACGCAAGUCUGAUCCAGCCAUUCCGCGUGCAGGAUGAAGGCCCUCGGGUUGUAAACUGCUUUUGUACGGAACGAAAAGGUCUCUCCUAAUACGAGGGGCUCAUGACGGUACCGUAAGAAUAAGCACCGGCUAACUACGUGCCAGCAGCCGCAGUAAAAC
rnacentral:rRNA from 1 species